CGACCCUAGCUAAGGUGAGAACACUCGCUGAGUUUAAUCAUAUAAUUAACCAGAGGAAAAGAAACUUACAAGGAUUCCCCUAGUAAUGAUGAGCAAACCGGGAAGAGCCCAACAUGAAAAUUGGGUGGCAGCGCUACCUGAAUUGUAGUUUGUAGAAGAAUCCUUAGCGGUGGACCAGGCCCAAGUCCCCUGGAAGGGCACGCCUGAGAGGGUGAUAGCCCCAUCGGGUUGGGACCCUAUCACACCAUGAGGAGUUGUCAGCGAGUUGGGUUGUUUGGGAAUGCAGCCCUAAUCGGGUGGUAAAUUAUGUCCAAGGAUAAAUACAGGUGAGAGAAUGAUAGAGAACAAGUACCGUGAGGGAAAGAUGAAAAGGAAUUUGAAAAGAGAGUUAAAGAGUGCUUAAAAUUGUCAGGAGGGAAGCAGAUGGAGGUUGGCAAUGUGUCUCGAUCAGAUGUGGAACGACUCAAGCUGGUCCAUCGCUCGACUUGAGGUGCGAACUAGCACAUGCCAUUGCAUCGGCACAAGCACGAAUGGAGUACCACCUUUUGGCUUUCCAUUGUGGCGGUCGAGGAAUGAAGUGUGCGCCCCUUGGGGCGGGCCACUGUGCACCUGCACACUUGUGGGGUUGGUUGGUGGGAUUUUCAUUCAUCCUGUAUUGAAACAUGGAUCAGGGAGUAUAACAUGUGUGUGAUUCAGUGGGUUUGUAAAAUUUUGAGGUGUAAGGAAGUUGAUGGGAGAGAUCCACUCUCCAUGGGGUGCAUUUCCAACCAACCUUGAGCUUGUGCGAAGGAUUUGAGUGUGAGCACACCUGUUGGGACCUGAAAUAUGGUGAACUAUGCCUGAGCAGGGUGAAUCCAAAGGAAACUCUGGUGGAGGUCUGUAGUGAUAUUGGCAUGCAAAUCAUACGUUUGACUUGGGUAUAGGGGAAGAAGACUAAUCGAACCAUAUAGUAGCUAGUUUCCUCCUAAGUUUCCCUCAGGAUAGAUGGAGCUCACGUGCGAGUUUUAUCGAGCAAAGAAAAUUAUUAGAGGCAUCGGGGGCAUAACGCCCUCAACCUAUUAUCAAACUUUAUAAAGGUAAGACAGUGUGGCUGCUCCACUGAGACAUUCCAUGGAAUUGAGAGCUCCAAGUGGGCCAUUUUUGGUAAGAAGAACUGGCGAUGUGGGAUGAACCCAAAUUCAAGUUACGGUGCCAAACUACGUGCUAACCUAGAUCCCACAAAGGGUGUUGGUUGAUUAAGACAACAGGACGAUGGUAAUGGAAGUCGAAAUCCACUAAGGAGUGUGUAAAAACUCACCUGUCGAAUCAACUAGCCCUGAAAAUGGAUGGCGCUAAAGAGCGCGACCUAUACUCAACUAUCGGAGCAAUUGUUAGGCUUCGAUGAGUAGGAGGAUGUAGGGUUCAUUGAGAAACCUUGGGCAUGAGCCUGGGUGGACCGGUCCCCGAUGCAGAUCUUGGUGGUAGUAGAACAUAUUCAAAUGAGAACUUUGAAUAUUGAAGUGGGGAAAGGUUCCAUGUGAACAACACUUGGACAUGGGUUAGUCGAUCCUAAGAUAUGGGGAAUCCAUGUAUCAAGGGUGCACUCUGCAUGAACAUCCAAAGGGACUUGGUUUAAUAUUCCUGAACCGAGACAUGGCAGUGGACGAAAACGUUAGGAAAUCCAGAGACGUCAUCGGGGGCCCCGAGAAGAGUUAUAUUUUCUUUUUAAUAGCUUGCCCACCCUGAAAUUGACUCAACCAAAGAUAGGGUCCAACAGCUGGAAGAGCAUAGCAUGUAUUGUGGUUUUCAGUGCACCCUUAAUGACCCUUGAAAAUAUAGAGGACCGAGUACCGUCCAUGCCCGAUCGUACUCAUAACUGCAUCAGGUCUCCAAGGUGAACAACCUCUAGUCAAUAGAAAAAUGUAGGUAAGAGAAGUCGACAAAAUGGAUCUAUAAAUUUGGGAAAAGGAUUAGCUCUGAGGGCUGGGCCUAGGGGUCUGCGUCCUCAACCCAUGGGAUGUCAACAGUCUUCCUAAUUAGGCUAUGGACGUAGAAUGUCCCCUCGCAGGGGAUUUUCCCUAGGCAACAAACAAUCGACUCAGAACUAGUAUGGACAAGGGGAAUCCGACUGUUUAAUUAAAACAAAGCAUUGUGAUGGUCACUGCAUAUGCUGAUGCAAUGUGAUUUCUACCCAGUGCUCUGAAUGUCAAAGUGAAUAAAUUCAACCAAUCAUGGGUAAACAACGAGAGUAACUAUGACUCUCUUAAAGUAGCCAAAUGCCUUGUCAUCUAAUUAGUGACACACAUGAAUGGAUUAACGAGAUUCCCACUAUCCCUAUCUACUAUCUAGAGAAACCAUAGCCAAGGGAAUGGGCUUGGCAGAAUUAGUGGGGAAAGAAGACCCUGUUUAGACCCUGUUGAGCUUGGAUCUAGUCUGACUUUGUGAAAUGACUUGAGAUGUGUAGAAUAAGUGGGAGCUGUUUUUGGUGCAAGUGAAAUACCACUACUUCUAACUUUAUUUUACUUAUUCUGUGGGGUGGAUAUGGGGUAUCGUCCUUGUUUUUGGCCUUAAGACAUGUUUCGACAGGUCAAUCUAGGUGGAAGACAUUUUCAGGUGGGGAUUUUGGAUGGGGCGACACAUCUGUUAAAAGAUAACAUAGGUGUCCUAAGAUGAUCUCAACGAGAAAAAAAAUGUCAUGUGGAACAAAAGGGUAAAAGAUCAUUUGAUUUUGAUUUUCAGUACGAAUACAAACCGUGAAAGCAUGGUCUAUCGAUCCUUAGACUUUAGGAAUUUUAAGCUAGAGGUGUCAAAAAAGUUACCACAGGGAUACCUGUCUUGUGGCAUCCAAGCAUUUAUAGCGACAUUGCUUUUUUAUCCUUCGAUGUCGGCUCUUCCUAUCAUUCUGAAGAAGAAUUCACCAAGUGUUGGAUUGUUCACCCACCAAUAGUGAACGUGAGAUGGGUUUAGACUAUUGUGAGAUAGGUUAGUUUUACCCUACUGAUGAAACACGCCGCAAUAGUAAUUCAACUUAGUACGAGAGGAACCAUUGAUUCACACAAUUUAUCAUCGUGCUUGCUUGAAAAUUUAGUGGCACGAAGCUACCAUGUGUUGGAUUAUGAUUGAAUGCCUCUAAGUCAGAAUCCAUGCUAGAAGUGGUGCUUGUCACUCCUCAACUGUAUAUUGACCCACAGUAGGGGUGUCACUUCUUCACCCCUAGGGGCCUAUGUCACUUGCAAACCUCAGCUGGGAAGUGCCUCAGUUGGGGCAACUUUGAAGUUCAAUUUCAAACAGUCAUUGAGAAGAAUCCUUUGCAGAAGACUUACAUACACGACGAGGUAUUGUAAGUGGCAGAGUGGCCUUGCUACCACGAUCCACUAAGAUUCAUCCCUUCGUCACCUCAAUUCAU
rfam:Picea glauca, whole genome shotgun sequence.